rnacentral:rRNA from 1 species
UCCUCCUGUGUGCGGCGCCGCCGCUGCGCACAGGCCACAUCUCCUCGCCCUCCUCGACAUCUCCGGCCAAGGCGCUCACUUCUCCGGCCCCCCUCCACAUCUCCUCGCCUCCACCCCAUCCACUUCCUGUCGAAGACUGCGGCAACGGAGCUCGGCGGCUGCGGCCCUUCUCCAAGACUGCAGCAUGGUGCUCGGCGGCUGCGGCAACGGAGCUGAUGGAGCGCGAGCCGACCAGUUCAACGGAGGCAGUAGCACGGGGCAGCGGCAGCAGCAUGGAGGGCGUCCGCUUGACUGGAAAGAGAAUGUAUUUGUUGAUAGUGAGAGUGAGGAUAAUGAUGGGGUGAGUGAGGAUGGGGAAGAUGCUCCAUCCAUGCAUGAUCAGCAAGAGGCGCAAAUGCAAGUGGAAAAAGAGACACAAAUUCAAGUGGAAAAGGACGCACCUCCAAGAGAUGGCAAUUUGGAGACCCGUAGAUCUGUACGGCUUGUCAAGAAGAAGACCAAGGGCGUCAACAGCCUAUACCCUGUUGCUUAGAAAUCUGUUGAAUAACUAAGGAUAUCAAGAAGCUUUUGGAUGUAGGCAAGCUUGGAGCUGCUGUUUCAAUGUCAUACUUUGAUAGUUGCCUUUUGGAGCUGUUGUUUCUAUGUGUAAUACUUUAAGUCUGUUGGCUGUACCGGACUAUUUAAACUCUGAACUAUGCUGUGAUGGUUGAACUGAUGUUGGACUGUUAAGGGUUAUGUUGGAGGCCACUUUAUAACUAAUGUGUGCCUGUUAUGUUGGACAGAUGCAGUUUUAUUAAUCCC